rnacentral:lncRNA from 1 species
UUGCUCUCAGUUAAAUGGCACAGUUUGUCCACAUGAGAAACGAAGAUAGGAAAAAUGCCCUUAAAAUCUAAGCCAAACUGCUUCAAAUGCUUAACUAAGCCUUCUAUCAAUCUCUAAAAAAAGAUGAAACAAAAUGAAUCCUCUUUUGUUAGAGAAUGAAGUCAUUAAGCAAAAUUAAGCACAAAAAGCAAAUCAUAGACUUAAAUAAAACGGGAAUUAAACACCAUCCAGAUUCUAUUCAGUGUGGUUAAAGCAAAAUAAUCAUCAUUGAGCA